rnacentral:rRNA from 1 species
CCUACGGGUGGCUGCAGUGAGGAAUAUUGGUCAAUGGGCGGAAGCCUGAACCAGCCAAGUCGCGUGAGGGAUUAAGGCCCUAUGGGUCGUAAACCUCUUUUGUCAGGGAGCAAUGGCGUCCACGUGUGGGCGUAUGGAGAGUACCUGAAGAAAAAGCAUCGGCUAACUCCGUGCCAGCAGCCGCGGUAAUACGGAGGAUGCGAGCGUUAUCCGGAUUUAUUGGGUUUAAAGGGUGCGUAGGCGGAUUGAUAAGUUAGAGGUGAAAUGUCCGGGCUCAACUCGGGAACUGCCUCUAAUACUGUUGAUCUAGAGAGUAGAUGCGGUAGGCGGAAUGUAUGGUGUAGCGGUGAAAUGCUUAGAGAUCAUACAGAACACCGAUUGCGAAGGCAGCUUACCAAUCUAUAUCUGACGUUGAGGCACGAAAGCGUGGGGAGCAAACAGGAUUAGAUACCCGGGUAGUC